rnacentral:rRNA from 1 species
ACGCACGCUGGCGGCGUGCUUCACACCUGCAAGUCGCACGCUGAAGCUCAGCUUUUGUUGGGUGGAUGAGUGGCGAACGGGUGAGUAACACGUGAGUAACCUGCCUCCUUCUUUGGGAUAACGCCCGGAAACGGGUGCUAAUACUGGAUAUUCACUGGUCUUCGCAUGGGGGUUGGUGGAAAGGGUUUUUCUGGUGGGGGAUGGGCUCGCGGCCUAUCAGCUUGUUGGUGGGGUGAUGGCCUACCAAGGCUUUGACGGGUAGCCGGCCUGAGAGGGUGACCGGUCACAUUGGGACUGAGAUACGGCCCAGACUCCUACGGGAGGCAGCAGUGGGGAAGAUUGCACAAUGGGCGCAAGCCUGAUGCAGCGACGCCGCGUGAGGGAUGGAGGCCUUCGGGUUGUGAACCUCUUUCGCUCAUGGUCAAGCCGCAACAAUGGUUGUGGUGAGGGUAGUGGGUAAAGAAGCGCCGGCUAACUACGUG